GUUUGUUAAAAUACCACAUGAUGAUAUAGACACUGUGCUUCACUGCAGUUCUAGUAACCAGUUCACAAGUGUAGGAUGACACUCUUCUGGGCUUGCAUAUUGGUCUUCUUCUCAUAUGGAUAUACAUCGAUCACCAUCCAUCAACCCUAUCUUUCUGUUACCAGAGCAGGUUCACAAGGAAGAUCGGCGAGUUUUAAAUGCAAUGUAAAUGGCAUUGACCAUGAGACCAAACCUAUUUAUUGGUAUCAACAAAAACCAAAUGAACAGCCACAAAAGAUUCUGUAUAUAAUUGGUGGAAAGGCCUUUUAUGACCAAGAAGUCGACAAGCAGAAACUUGAAACUGGUUCAGUUUCGACUUUAAGGAUUAAAAACAUAGUGAAAGAGGAUGCUGCAACCUAUUUCUGUGCCUGCUGGGAGUAUUAUGCACAGUGAUGCAGUUUAAUGACUUUUCUGCACAAAAAGAGAAAAUACUUUGACAGAAAGGAAAGCAGGCACACAUAUGUUAAAACAUGUUUAUAUAACUGUGCGUUUCAAUUUAUUGUUUCCAUUGAAAAAAUGGAAACACAUUGCCAAAGGGUUAAUAAAGCUGCAUAUGUAGUCCUUUACUAAAAACUAAAUCUAAGCCCUCUCGAGGACCCAUUUGGAAACAUAGGUGCAGUGGUGUAACUAUAGGCGAUGGUCCUCCAAGGAGUAUCAGCACUUUGAGCUUUCAGCAGCUUUCUAAGAUCCAAACUAACUUGUAGCAGGUGCUAUCGGUGAUUUCACAUGGAUAAGAUACAUUUACUUAUUUCCAAUAUUGGUUCCAUUUUGGAUCUCCAGCAGGAUGCAAUAGAAGGUGUGGCAGAGACAGGUAAUCAUGCUGGGCUGCAUUGUCACAAUCUAUAUGCCUAUACAUAAUUCAUGGCCACUUGUACGACAAGAGAUAAUGGGGAUAUAUAAGGAUGCACCA